GUCAUGCGCAGAACCGACGUAAAACGGCGCGGUGCAGUAUCUUCGACCAUCUUCGUGCCAUCCGCGCCAUUCAACAUGGUGGAAAGACGGCUAGUUCAGCGAUAUCGUACAAUGAUUUAGGGUCUUCUCAAGGAUACGGCUUAUUUCUUUAACUGCCAACUGAAAGGAUCCUGUUGUGUGCUGUUGGAUUGUGGUAAUGGAACAAAUACAGCAUGGCUAAAAGGAUGUCACUUCAUACAUCUCCAAUGUCAAAGUCGAACUGAUGUGUGGUCUUAUAAGACCUCUGCCUCACAGGCGAGGCAUCCCCUGUGUCUAUAAUGCGUUCAAUUAUUGAGUAUCUUCCUAAUUGUUCAACUGAUGAUGCUAAACAGUCUCUGUCUGGAAGGUGUGACGGGUCAAAGGUUGAACCUGAAGUUGCACGACCUGACUGAAAGGUCAUAUCCUCUGGGAACUCGAUUGUUUUAGUUUGGUUGUCUAGUUUUGAAAAAAGGCAACUCUAGUGUUCUCAUACAUUUCAAUCCCUUCUGAUGUAGGAUUAGGCAGACGAAUAGGUACCAUAUUUCCUUCUGAAACAGUGACUUAUCUGUAGCACCUUUGAUUGAAAACAUAUAAGGGAGAUCCUCUCUCCGUUCAAUAAGGACGUUCAAUAACCUUUCUCCUCUAACGUGUUGUACCAAGAAAGAGCCUUUCCCCUAAGAGUUAAGUGGUAAAGCGAGGGCUUGUCUGGCGUCAUUCGAAUUACAAAAGGUUGCAAGCUGAUGGAAAAUUGUAAAAAAUUCAGCAUGUUUUUUCUUCCUCGCCUCCCGAAAGUAUAGGAAAUAAAGGCUUUUUAGCGCUACAUUUUCUGUGGCUAGACCCGCGAUACUAGCGUCGUGGGCUCUCUGUAAGUUUUGAAAACGAUGGUUAACAUUGGUGUGUAACGCCAUGUAAUUUUUACCACGAGCUAAUCCAUUUUUUUCCUUUUUUGUUCUUAAGCAAUCGCUAUGAAGUUCAACGAGUAUGGUGUUGUCAGUGCCACUGUCCCUAAGGUUUAAAUUAGUAUCAUAGUCAAUUUUGUCACUGGCGUCUACGAAAUCUUGUCGUCAGUUUGGCGUUGUUAAAGAAUAAAAUCUAUAACUAAAAAAAGGUUGAACAUACCCAAUUGCUAAGCUCUGCCUUAAUCAAAGUUGCCCAAAACGAAAUGGAAAAUUGCCCAAAACAAA